AGCAGCCGCGGUAAUUCCAGCUCCAAUAGCGUAUAUUAAAGUUGUUGCAGUUAAAAAGCUCGUAGUUGAAUUUCGGGGUUAGUAAGUUGGUCAUGCCUUUGGUAUGCACUGGCUUUACUGAUUCCUCCUUCUUGACGAACCGUGAUGUCAUUAAUUUGGUGUUGCGGGAAAUCAGGACUGUUACUUUGAAAAAAUUAGAGUGUUUAAAGCAGGCUAACGCUUGAAUACAUUAGCAUGGAAUAAUGAAAUAGGACGUUAAUCCUAUUUUGUUGGUUUCUAGGAUCGACGUAAUGAUUAAUAGGGAUAGUUGGGGGCAUUAGUAUUCAAUUGUCAGAGGUGAAAUUCUUGGAUUUAUUGAAGACUAACUACUGCGAAAGCAUUUGCCAAGGAUGUUUUCAUUAAUCAAGAACGAAAGUUAGGGGAUCGAAGACGAUCAGAUACCGUCGUAGUCUUAACCAUAAACUAUGCCGACUAGGGAUCGGAUGAUGUCAAUUUUUUUAAUGACUCA
rnacentral:rRNA from 1 species